UCAAAGUCACAGAUUUAUAAAGUGAUGAUAUCUGAGUGAAUCUGCAUCUAAUAACAAUGACUUCAGUAGGCCUACAUUUCCCUGUGAUCUAUAAUUGAUGUAUUGGCGUUGUCCAUUGUAACAUUGUUCCUGCUUUUCUCACAGAUUCCACCUCAGUGAUUGUAAUAGCUACAAUAGCAGGACUGACAGUUUUUGCUUUAGUAGCUGCUCUCAUUGCACUCCUGCUUGAAGAAAAAGUGGUCUCCAAAUUCAGGACCUCAGUCCUUUAGAACAGCUGUGAGAUGUACUGGAACAGGAGAUUAUCAUUCUUUGUGUGGAGCACACAAAUCUUCAGCAACUGUGUGAUGCUAUCAGCUAUCAUUUGUGUGUGUGUAUGCUAAAUCCUCACAGGCUAGUCUAACAGUGUUUUACUAUUUUUGAUUGUAUAGAGAGAUGAAACCAUUGAAAGAGGUCAUGAAUUAUAUAGGAAAUUCAAUUCAAUUCAAUUUUAUUUAUAUAGCGUCAAAUCACAACAACAGUCGCCUCACAGCACUUUUUAUCUUAGAAGAUGUGAUCACCAAACUGGUCCUCUCAAAAAGCAAAACAUCAUCCACUGUAACGUGUGUCUUUUCGUUUUAGUUCAUUAAGUAGUAAAAAAAAAAUCUGGUGAUCACAUAUAACCCCGCCUCUUCAAUCUUUCAGUGUGAAUCACAUCAAUUACACUUCCUGUUUCUAAACAUAAUGACCACAUAGAAAGCACAGCCUUGUACUUCCAGUCACAUGAAAAGCUCCGUUUUUUAUUUUCUCUUCCUGUUAGUUCAAUUUUUUGAGGUCAAACCCUCAAAACUCCAGUUAACCCUUCUUCAGUCUCUCAUACCUGCUAAAAACUGAAUAGUGUCACCUUUUCAUAAACAGCCUGGGUUAUAAUUUUUGCUCUAUUUUGUGGAUGUGAAUACAUUAAAGCAUUUUACAC